rnacentral:rRNA from 1 species
ACGGGUGAGUAACACGUGAGCAACCUGCCCUGGACUCUGGGAUAAGCGCUGAAAACGGUGUCUAAUACUGGAUAUGAGCCUCUAUCGCAUGGUGGGGGUUGGAAAGAUUUUUCGGUCUGGGAUGGGCUCGCGGCCUAUCAGCUUGUUGGUGAGGUAAUGGCUCACCAAGGCGUCGACGGGUAGCCGGCCUGAGAGGGUGACCGGCCACACUGGGACUGAGACACGGCCCAGACUCCUACGGGAGGCAGCAGUGGGGAAUAUUGCACAAUGGGCGGAAGCCUGAUGCAGCAACGCCGCGUGAGGGAUGACGGCCUUCGGGUUGUAAACCUCUUUUAGCAGGGAAGAAGCGAAAGUGACGGUACCUGCAGAAAAAGCGCCGGCUAACUACGUGCCAGCAGCCGCGGUAAUACGUAGGGCGCAAGCGUUAUCCGGAAUUAUUGGGCGUAAAGAGCUCGUAGGCGGUUUGUCGCGUCUGCUGUGAAAUCCCGAGGCUCAACCUCGGGUCUGCAGUGGGUACGGGCAGACUAGAGUGCGGUAGGGGAGAUUGGAAUUCCUGGUGUAGCGGUGGAAUGCGCAGA